GACCUCUGUCUCCACAAAAUAUCACUGUCGGCUCCAUUACAGUCAGUCAGAUCAGCGUUCACUGGAUGCUGCCACAAGCACAUUACAUGGCUGGAUGGACAUUUGUUGUACGCUAUUUGGACACGUCUUCAGGACGAGAGUGGAUAGUUGGGAUGACCAAUGUCUCCAGGUCAUCUGAGACUCCCGGGUCACACACUGUCGUCAUUGGAGGGAUGGAGCCUUACAGGAAAUACAUGGUUGAAGUGAAUACAGUCACCCUGCACGGGAUCGAGAGCUGUGCCCAGGUGCCUCUGACUGCACAGACCGCGGCGAGCCCCCCUAGUGGUCUGAAGGUGACGAGCGCCACUGGAAAUUUGACAGUCUGCUGGUCUCAUCCGCCUGAUGGCCAGCCGGAUGGUUAUAAUGUUACAUUCCACCCGCUUCACAGUCCCGGUGCUUUCUCACUCUGGAUAAACCAGUCCAGCCCCGGUGCACGCCGGGCAAAUCUGUCCAUUUGCAUUGAUUUGGGCACAUUUACUCCAGGUGAGACUUAUAAAAUCGGAGUGGUCUCACUGAGGGGAGAAGCCAGGAGCCAGAGCACCAGCACCAUGCAUACCACUGGUAAAAUACCCACAACAUAGAAACCACCUCUACUAUCCUGGUGUUUACAUGCUAUGAACUAUAUGUGUUUCUGUGUGUGCAGCUCCACUAGGAGUUCCGGUAGCAGUCCCACUGCGGGUGGGUCCGACCUCAGCCCAGCUGUACGUGCAGCAUCCCCAGCUUGGCCUGAUGGAUGGAGCGAGCGUGUGCGUGUGUCCUGGGCUGUGUGCAGCUGCGUGUGAGGGGCCGUGUGAGCACCUGUGCACCUGGUACUCCCUGGCAGCCGGCGUUCACGUCAUCACCCUCAGCAACCUCAGUCCUGGUUCGGAGUACCAGCUCAAGGUGCACAGCACGAGCCGAGCGCAGAGGGGACCCCCGUUCUACAGCCUCCCCUUUAAAACAGGUCUGUCUCCUCCCAGCAGACUGAGAGAGGGCUCGGUGACAGAUUCAUCCGUUGAGCUGCUUUGGGAUCCAGCACCAGGAGAAGCUCACAGCUAUGAGGUCAUUUGUCUUAACUGCGACCCUUCGCACAUGGUGCAGAAGGUGUUCAGUCAGAGCGCGGUGUUUUCUAAUCUGACUCCUGGCAGGCUCUACCGCUUCGCCGUACGAACAGAGAAGGAGUCGUUCGCCGACAGCUCCCCUGUCUCCAUCAACAUCACGGCAGCACCCAGCCCCGUGGACCUGUCUCUUGUCAAUAAAAGCGCAUCAUCUAUCAACAUUAGCUGGGGAACGGUCAGGGGAGAACUGAACGGGCUCAGCCUGUCAAUCCAAAACCAGACAUCCACUCAAGAGCUGAUGAUUUCGCGCCAGGCGCCCAGGUCGCAUACGUUCAAAGGCCUUGGUCCCGGAAGCCAGUAUUUAAUUGAAGUAGCCAGCAUCAGUGGGAAAAGGAGAAGUAAACCUGCUUCUAUGACUGUCCAAACUAUCCCAGCAGCACCACAGGAAGUGGCUCUUCCGGAGCAGGUGGUGACGUCUGUGUUCGUCACCUGGAGGGCACCUCCGGGGCAGGUGGAGGGUUACAGGCUUGCUCAUGGGCUGUGGUCUGUGGACAAGAAAUCGUGGAGCGAGGUGUUUGUCCAGAGCACAGCUUAUGAGAUCAGUGAUUUGAUUCCAGGGUCGGACUAUGGUGUCAGCAUUCAGAGCGUGCUGGGUUCAGACACCAGUCAGACCGUCAGCAGGGAGUUCAGCACACGCCCGGCCGGACUGUGCAGCCUCCAUGUGGACAACGUGAACGCGUCCUCUGUCGCUCUAAGCUGGGACGCUGCGUUGGGAGAGUUCGACUUUCACAGAGUCACGGUGGCCAACGCCUCAGUCACGAACACGCUCGUCAUACCCAGGGAGGCGCGGGUUGCUGUGGUUACGGGGCUGGCGGAUGGGUGCAGCUACAACGUGAGCGCCGAGCGAGUGCGAGGGGUGACGACGGGGAGCGCUGCCUUCCUGACUGUAACCACAGUGCCGGCCCCCGUGAGAGGAUUUCGUUUUGUGAAUGUGUCUGCACAUUCUUUCUCGCUGCUGUGGGAGCAGGCAGCGGGGUGUGUGGAUCGUUACCAAGUGAGCCUGCUACCUAAUCAGGGGACGGUCGCGGUCCGGCCUGCAGCCCAUGGGUACAUACAGGCCAAUGUGAACAAUGUCAGUCCAGGGACUCAGUACAAUGUCAUGGUCACAGCAGCGUCCUCCUCCAACACCAGUCCUGGAGUCAGCCGCAUGAUCAGCACCAACGACAGCGGUGAGACGUUUGUUGUCGUUGUUUGGCUGGCUUUGGUUCGUCAAGGCCAGUACAGUGCACACUAGUGGUGUGCCAGGAUCGAGUUUUACAUAAUAACAAUAAUGUGUCAUAUUGUGUUAUUGUUAAUUCACAGCAGAACACAAAUGGUCAACACUCUCUGUUUUCAUAAUAAAAUGUCUGAUCAUGAUAAAGCUCUGGCA
rnacentral:lncRNA from 1 species